AUGUGUAUGAGCAAGAAGGAUGGGGGGCUUGGGUUUAGAGACCCGGAAGCUUUCAAUCAAGCUAUGCUUGCAAGACAAGCUUGGCGUUUACUUCAAGUACCAGAUUCUUUGUGUGGAAGGGUCUUAAAGGCGAGGUAUUUCCCUGACGGAACGAUCUUAAACGCCACAUGCCCAGACGGGGGAUCAUACACGUUCCGAAGUAUCUUACACGGC
rnacentral:rRNA from 1 species